CUUCAGCAGCUGAGGACUGGUUUUGGUUGAGUCAGAGAUUUCCCUAGGGCAAGCCUAGGAUGAGAGUAGCAGAGAUCAGUAGCAGUAGUAGUGACUUGGUGGAGUCGAGGCAGUGCUUGAGGAAAGUACGGAUAGAUGUGGAAGGUAGUAUAUGUAACAUCGUGAUUUUUCACCCAAAUUUCUCUUUUUUUUAAAACAUUUAUUUAACAGAAUACGUUGCGGAAGACUUAUUAUGUUUAUUUCAAAACAUCACCAAUGUUACUUUCAUGUCAAAACAAACCCAUCUAAAUUUAAUGUUAACAAAAACGUAAUGAUAAAAACCCAACAUGUUUAAAUGGUAUCAUAACUAAAGAUACUAACUAAGACUACCCAAAAGCUCCCAUCCUCACCAAGGCAUCAUGUCAAGCUACCUGUUCCAACACACAAGGAAAGACAACAAGAAAAGAACAAGUAUUAGCAUAAGCUAAGUGAGUCAAUAUAGUACAAUGUCAAGAGAACACCCAUAUCAUAGAUAGAAUCACACAAAACAUCCACAUACCGUCAAAGACUCACUAACAAGACACACAACAUCACACCUCAUAACAAACAUAGGUUUAGCUCAGUUUAUUUUAAUUCUUCUUUUAGAGCUUCUCUUAUUAGUUACUCUCCUCAACACCACUGUAACUAUUUUAUUUUAUUGAUUCACCGCUUAAAUAUUAAUGUAUAAUAUUUUUUUUCCUCUCUGCUUUACGUUAAUAACUACUCACCGCUCACCGUUGUAUUUAUUAAAGUAUUACCUCCUAUUUAGGGUCUAUUUAUUCACCGCAAGAACCCCCAAAGCAAGACCAUAUUCGCUACUAACGUGACUGACACGAACCAAUACACUAAGUGAGGCGCGACUCUCACCCGUAAUCAUUGCUCCCGGUGCGCUGCGUUCGCUACUCCGACUAUGCACAUACAUGUACAUUCGUUGUCGUUAAGGACUGGUACGAGCGGUGCCAAUUUCAACAGAUACACCUCCCAAAUCCCACGUGAUAUUUGCACUGGUCCCACCGCUUGACCAACAUCACUCCAGUCCCGGUAUACCAAGGUGUACCAAGACCAUGUCCCGAGUGGUUGUCUAGAAAAAACAUUCGGCAUCACAGUUGGCUUAAGCUCUUUAUCCUAUAGGUAUCUUUCAACCCACUAGGUCAUCAUAAUAUCUGGAUUGGGUAUUUACCUAUAUCUAGGUUUCUACCCUUUGCCCCGCUAAUGUGUUCCCCUUUUCUAAUUUAAUAAUGAUUAAUUAAAUAAGGAGUUACACUUUACCCUUUCAAGUAAUCAUGUAAAUAUUAUGAAUUUUCUUUUAUUAACAUAUUACCUCUUUAAGGGUUAUUUUCAUGCAAACAUGUAAUUUCAUGAAGUUAUCACAUUUUACAUCACACACUACUUUCAUACAUAACACAUCUAUAAAGUUGAUACAAUACUAACAUGCUUGUCCUAAAACAUUGUAAACAAAUAUUUUCAAACAAGAAUUAACAUGCUCACAUAAUGUUCAUACACUUCACUCAAUCUAGCAUGACCCUAGAUCACAAAUCUCACACCAAAAAAGGAAGAGUCUAGCAUGCAACACCCUAGAUAUCUUUACACAUAAAACAUUUCAACAAUAAUGGCAUAACAAUCAAUCAUCAAAGGGGGCACAUGCAUCCUAGGUAACUAGGUUCAUCCCAAACCAUCUAAGAUAUGGGAUACUCCUAACAAUGUACUUUUAAAACCACAAGUUGACUCACCUUUGCCAAAAAUGUGACCAACUCACACUUCAAAUAUUGUAUUGGUUGAAGUAUCAACCUUGCCCCUAUUACAUUUCAAAUAACAAGGUUAUUGGAGUUCUACAAUGCCAAAGAUGAUAAAUUUAUAAGCCAAACACAUAAAUCAACUAGCAAGUAAAAUUCCCAGUUUUGGGACCCAAAAUAGCCACCUGUUUAGAGCUGUUUUAGCAAACUUAGAACCUGUAUAACUUUCGUUUUUAUUUCAUAUUACUGAAGUUCAGACUUUUAGCUUUUCAGAAUGUACUUUUUAAGGUCCAAACGAUUUUUCUACAAUUUUAUAUGAUUUUUACAAAUCUGCCUAACAAUGCAGCUAAAUUCUGACCAGCCGGUGAAAAAGGCGAUUUUCACCUAAAUUAGAAACAACAACAGGUUCUGGAAAAAUUCAUGGAUAAAAUAGACUCAAAAUGAAAACUUUGAGAGUUUACAGAUCAUUAAUUCGGUUCCUGGUUAUUUUUAUAUAAUUUUCCAACACAGGGACAGAUUGGUAAUUCUUGCUGAAUUUUCCAGCUUUGGGUUUCAAGGGCUUUUUGACCACUUAACACAUUAAGCCAUCACUAAAAACACCUAUAAGUGUAAAAAUUAACCUCUUAACAGAAAUAGCAUGAUUUAAUCAUAGAAACAUAUCCACUUGAUUCAUGGUGGAAAUUAACAUAAGUUUUAGAAAUCAACAAGAAGAAUUGUGACUCCAAAACUUUGAUCAAAACAUAAACUUGAGCAAUAAACUUAAUGAAGGUGUUCAUAAACAAUUUUGACAGCAAUAAACCAUCAAAAUUACACCCAAUAGAACUAGAAUUAAACAUAUGAACAUUCAAAGAUUGUAAGGAAGAAGAUGAUAUGAUCAAUAACACCAAAAAGAAAGGAAUUGACUAUGCUAUUAACCAAUUCUCAUCAAUUGAUGAAUGAAUUUCAAAAGAAAAGAAUCAAAGACAUACCAAGGACGAUUCCUAGCCCCAAAUUGACUCACAAAACUCGCAGCCCUUUUUCCCCUCUCCUUCACGUUCGGUUUUCUUCUUUUUCUUCCCUAGCAAUCGUCGAUGACUACUUCACGCCUAAAUAUGAUUGAUCGUUUUUUUUUCUCCUUGUUACUUGACACACAACAUAAACAAUUGGGGAAAUUUAUUUUGAUCGAUUGAUAUGGCCCCAAGACAUCAAAACUGCUAAUCCGCA
rnacentral:lncRNA from 1 species